rnacentral:misc_RNA from 1 species
UAUGGAGGAUCCAAGCGUUAUCCGGAAUCAUUGGGUUUAAAGGGUCCGUAGGCGGACAAUUAAGUCAGUGGUGAAAGUCUUCCGCUUAACGGGAGAACUGCCAUUGAUACUGAUUGUCUUGAGUUAUUAUGAAGUGGUUAGAAUGAGUAGUGUAGCGGUGAAAUGCAUAGAUAUUACAUAGAAUACCGAUUGCGAAGGCAGAUCACUAAUAAUUUACUGACGCUGAGGGACGAAAGCGUAGGUAGCGAACAGG